rnacentral:rRNA from 1 species
GACGAACGCUGGCGGCGUGCUUAACACAUGCAAGUCGAACGGAAAGGCCUGUUUCGUGGUGCUCUCGCGUUGACAGCGGGCGGGUAACUCGCGCGUAACUUGCCUUUCUCUAUGAGAUGGCUACAGUAAAGAGACGCUAACACCUGCUGGGUGCUCUUUUGGCCGGGUGGGGUAAGGAAUGUUUUGGCGGUUUGGGGUGACCUCGCGACUUAUCAGCUUGUUGGUGGCGGGAUGGCUUACCAAGGGCUUGCCGGGUAGCCGGACUGUGAGGGUGACCGGCCACAUUGGGACUGAGAGACGGCCCAGACUCCUACGGGUGGCAGAAGUGGGGAAUAUUGCACAAUGGGUGGAAGCCUGAUGCAGCAACGCCGCGUGCGGGAUGACGGCCUUCGGGUUGUAAACCGCUUUCGCUAGUGACGAAGCUUUUUGUGACGGUAGCGGGUAAAGAAGCACCGGCUAACUACGUG